rnacentral:rRNA from 1 species
CAGCCGCCGCGGGAAUACGGAGGGGGCUAGCGUUGUUCGGAAUUACUGGGCGUAAAGGGCGCGUAGGCGGUUUGGCAAGUUUGGUGUGAAAUCUUCGGGCUCAACUCGAAGUCUGCAUCGAAAACUGCCGGGCUUGAGUAUGGGAGAGGUGAGUGGAAUUUCCGGUGUAGCGGUGAAAUGCGUAGAUAUCGGAAGGAACACCUGUGGCGAAAGCGGCUCACUGGACCAUUACUGACGCUGAGGCGCGAAAGCUAGGGGAGCAAACAGGAUUAGAUACCCCAGUAGUCCCUGUCUCUUAUAC